UUGCUGAGAACAUAGGAGCCCAGGGGCCCUUGAGACCGAACUUCCUCCUGCCCCUGCAACACGGCAGUGCCUUGAUCGUGAGGGAGAUCACGCCACAGUGACAUCAGCCACCGCGGCUUGGCAGCGUGGAGCACGCUGGCAAGGACCUGGUCACGGAGCCCUGGACGGGAAACGUGGAAUGGGUUUAGGGGUCGGUGCUGAGACGAGGAUCUGAGCGCUUCGUCCAACCGCUGACGUCUCCGGUCACUUGGGCCAUCUGUUCACUCAGCAGUCACCGGCACAAGCGCGCACACACAUACACACACGCGCGCGCUCACACGAACAAUCAGCACCCAGGCUUCACCACCAAGACACAUUUACAGAAAGAAGCGCAAGUCCUCAGUUAACACACUUUGAAAAGACUUUUCAAACUCGCAGGCGAGCCGCAACGAUACGCAGAACGAAGCCUGAAAUUAUAACUUCGAAAGAAUCUGGACUGGUGUUGCUGGAAAUGAGUAAUGCUUACACUGAGACCUGACCAAACUCAGCGUUGCAGUUAUGAUCAGAAGGUCAUAAGUUCCACUUUGAUCUGCAUCUCCUGGAAAUGUUGCACAGAGACUUGACCGGAAUUUGAAUGUGGGGAUCUGCAGAUUUUCAGCUUGGGUUAUUGACGGUCUGCCUCGUGAAGUCGUGUGGCUUUUAGCCCGCCAGAGGUAAAAAAGCAACAACUUUGGGAGAGUCGGAAAGUGUGGCUUAGAGGCAACUGAUUUCAUGUGGACUAACCCAGAAGGUAAUGUAAACAGGCUCCAAUUUUAGUUUUCUAGUUAUUACGGCUGGGUAUUUGUGGAAGAGAUGUGUAUGAGGAACUAUUCUUGAACACCAGCAGCUGACUCCUGUAGUCAUAGCCAGCAAACUGACUCAUUCUUUAACU
rnacentral:lncRNA from 1 species